rnacentral:rRNA from 1 species
CCUACGGGCGGCAGCAGUGAGGAAUAUUGGUCAAUGGACGCUAGCCUGAACCAGCCAAGUAGCGUGAAGGAUGACUGCCCUAUGGGUUGUAAACUUCUUUUAUAAGGGAAUAAAAUGAAGCACGUGUGCUUCUUUGCAUGUACUUUAUGAAUAAGGAUCGGCUAACUCCGUGCCAGCAGCCGCGGUAAUACGGAGGAUCCGAGCGUUAUCCGGAUUUAUUGGGUUUAAAGGGAGCGUAGAUGGGUUGUUAAGUCAGUUGUGAAAGUUUGCGGCUCAACCGUAAAAUUGCAAUUGAUACUGGUAGUCUUGAGUACAGUAGAGGUAAGCGGAAUUCGUGGUGUAGCGGUGAAAUGCUUAGAUAUCACGAAGAACCCCGAUUGCGAAGGCAGCUUACUAAACUGUGACUGACAUUGAUGCUCGAAAGUGUGGGUAUCAAACAGGAUUAGAUACCCCUGUAGUC